CCUACGGGGUGCAGCAGUGGGGAAUAUUGCACAAUGGGGGAAACCCUGAUGCAGCGACGCCGCGUGAGUGAAGAAGUAUUUCGGUACGUAAAGCUCUAUCAGCAGGGAAGAAAAUGACGGUACCUGACUAAGAAGCCCCGGCUAACUACGUGCCAGCAGCCGCGGUAAUACGGAAGGUCCGGGCGUUAUCCGGAUUUAUUGGGUUUAAAGGGAGCGUAGGCCGCAUGUCAAGCGGGCUGUGAAAUGUCCGGGCUCAACCCGGGCCUUGCAGCGCGAACUGGCGUGCUUGAGUCCGCGGAAAGCAGGCGGAAUUCGUCGUGUAGCGGUGAAAUGCGUAGAUAUACGGAGGAACACCAGUGGCGAAGGCGGAUUGCUGGACAGUAACUGACGCUGAGGCGCGAAAGCGUGGGGAGCAAACAGGAUUAGAUACCCUUGUAGUC
rnacentral:rRNA from 1 species